GCACGGGGACGACCUCGUGCUGCGGCACACCGAGGACGACCUUG
rnacentral:ncRNA from 1 species